AGAGAUUAUAGCAUUCUCCUUUCAGAUGGAGAAAGGCGGUGAUGAUGAUAUUGCAUAUUCCCUAAGCCAACUUUUUAUAUUGCAAUGCCUUGAGUUCGCUCGUCCGCUAAUGCCAUGGUUUGACGAUUUGACACAGUGUUUGGUUCAUUUGGGGAACCAUGACUUUUUCUAUGUCCAGACUGGCUGGUGCGAUUCACAUCUCAAGGUUCAAUAUCUUAGUAUCACCACGUUUCAAAUUGUUGUUGGAGAAGGAGGAGGACAUAUGAUCAAGACCAUACAUUCAACUGUUCAUUCUGUGGAUAUCAAGGGCUCUGAAUGGUUCGAUCUUGUGUUAUGCUUCACGCCGUAAGUGUCCCUCACGUUUAUUGUAUUUUUGUCAAUAAGAUUUAAUUUGUACGUUGAAAUUUUGUUGCAUCUCAUAUGUAACCAUGUUUCUCAUUCUUAUGACUCAGUGAGUGCGAGGAUUAUGAACACACAGAAGAGGAGAGUAUGGCUAGUAUGAAUCAGCCAAGACAAGAAAUAACGGCCAUGAAG
rnacentral:lncRNA from 1 species